UACGGAGGGUGCGAGCGUUGUCCGGAUUUAUUGGGUUUAAAGGGUGCGUAGGCGGCCUUAUAAGUCCGUGGUGAAAGCCCGCUGCUCAACAGCGGAACUGCCCUUGAUACUGUGAGGCUUGAGUACAGACGAGGUUGGCGGAAUGGACCGAGUAGCGGUGAAAUGCAUAGAUACGUUCCAGAACCCCGAUUGCGAAGGCAGCUGACUAGGCUGGUACUGACGCUGAGGCACGAAAGCGUGGGGAGCGAACAGG
rnacentral:rRNA from 1 species